GCCGGCAUAGCUCAGCGGUAGAGCAGCGGUUUUGUAAACCGAAGGUCGGGAGUUCAAUCCUCUCUGCCGGCACCG
rnacentral:tRNA from 1 species